rnacentral:rRNA from 1 species
UACGUAGGGUGCAAGCGUUGUCCGGAAUUAUUGGGCGUAAAGAGUUCGUAGGCGGUUCGUCGCGUCGGCUGUGAAAUCCCGAGGCUCAACCUCGGGUCUGCAGUCGAUACGGGCGGACUGGAGUACUGCAGGGGAGACUGGAAUUCCUGGUGUAGCGGUGAAAUGCGCAGAUAUCAGGAGGAACACCGGUGGCGAAGGCGGGUCUCUGGGCAGUUACUGACGCUGAGGAGCGAAAGCGUGGGGAGCGAACAGG